rnacentral:rRNA from 1 species
UACACUCCUACGGGAGGCAGCAGUGGGGAAUAUUGCACAAUGGGCGCAAGCCUGAUGCAGCCAUGCCGCGUGUGUGAAGAAGGCCUUCGGGUUGUAAAGCACUUUCAGCGGGGAGGAAGGCGAUACGGUUAACAACCGUGUUGAUUGACGUUACCCGCAGAAGAAGCACCGGCUACCUCCGUGCCAGCAGCCGCGGUAAUACGGAGGGUGCAAGCGUUAAUCGGAAUUACUGGGCGUAAAGCGCACGCAGGCGGUCUGUCAAGUCGGAUGUGAAAUCCCCGGGCUCAACCUGGGAACUGCAUUCGAAACUGGCAGGCUUGAGUCUUGUAGAGGGGGGUAGAAUUCCAGGUGUAGCGGUGAAAUGCGUAGAGAUCUGGAGGAAUACCGGUGGCGAAGGCGGCCCCCUGGACAAAGACUGACGCUCAGGUGCGAAAGCGUGGGGAGCAAACAUGAUUAGAUACCCUGGUAGUCCCA